AUCCCUUUGUGGUUCAUAAGAGUGAUGACUGAGAUUUCACACUCCUGUGUGAGAUGUACCUCCCUCAAAUCUUAUGACAUGUGCACAUUACCUGACUCACA
ensembl:snoRNA